rnacentral:tRNA from 1 species
GCCGAGGUGGUGAAAUUGGGAAACACGCCAGCCCUAGGAGCUGGUGCCCGCAAGGGCUUGUGGGUUCGACCCCCACCCUCGGCA